AUUGAACGCUGGCGGCAUGCCUUACACAUGCAAGUCGAACGGUAACAGGUCUUCGGAUGCUGACGAGUGGCGAACGGGUGAGUAAUACAUCGGAACGUGCCCGAUCGUGGGGGAUAACGGAGCGAAAGCUUUGCUAAUACCGCAUACGAUCUACGGAUGAAAGCAGGGGAUCUUCGGACCUUGCGCUAAUAGAUGAGCCUAAGUCGGAUUAGCUAGUUGGUGGGGUAAAGGCCUACCAAGGCGACGAUCUGUAGCGGGUCUGAGAGGAUGAUCCGCCACACUGGGACUGAGACACGGCCCAGACUCCUACGGGAGGCAGCAGUGGGGAAUAUUGGACAAUGGGGGGAACCCUGAUCCAGCCAUGCCGCGUGUGUGAAGAAGGCCUUUUGGUUGUAAAGCACUUUAAGCGAGGAGGAGGCUACUCUAGUUAAUACCUAGGGAUAGUGGACGUACUCGCAGAAUAAGC
rnacentral:rRNA from 1 species